GCUGGGUGCAGUGGCUCACACCUGUAAUCCCAACACUUUGGGAGGCUGAGAUAGGAGGAUCACUUUAGCCCAGGAGUUCUAGACUAGCCUGGGCAACAAAGUGAGAUCUUGUCUCUA
ensembl:misc_RNA Metazoa_SRP Metazoan signal recognition particle RNA